CAGGCUACUCAUUCCAACAAGAUGCAUCUUUCUUUCAGGGAGCUCAUUUCCUUAGUUACUUCGCAGUUAAGCGUGUUUGGCUGAGAGUAGUCUAGGGAUGGGUGACCUCAUGGGAAUUUUCGCAGGGUGCGCAUGU
rfam:Beta vulgaris subsp. vulgaris chromosome 5, whole genome shotgun sequence.